CCUACGGGUGGCUGCAGUGAGGAAUAUUGGUCAAUGGGCGAGAUCCUGAACCAGCCAAGCCGCGUGAGGGAAGACGGUCCUAUGGGUUGUAAACCUCUUUAGUCGGAGAACAAAACCCGGGACGUGUCCCGGACUGCGGGUAUCCGACAGAAAAGCAUCGGCUAACGCCGUGCCAGCAGCCGCGGUAAUAAGGAGGAUGCGAGCGGUAUCCGGAUUUAUUGGGUUUAAAGGGUGCGGAGGCGGUCCGUUAAGGCCGCGGUAAAAUUGCGGGGCUCAACCCCGUCGGGCCGUUGAAACUGGGAGUCUUGAGUUGGCGAGAAGUACGCGGAAUGCGCGGUGUAGCGGUGAAAUGCAUAGAUAUCGCGCAGAACUCCGAUUGCGAAGGCAGCGUACCGGCGCCAGACUGACGCUGAGGCACGAAAGCGUGGGGAUCGAACAGGAUUAGAUACCCUUGUAGUC
rnacentral:rRNA from 1 species